rnacentral:rRNA from 1 species
UGGGGAAUCUUCCGCAAUGGGCGCAAGCCUGACGGAGCAACGCCGCGUGAGCGAAGAAGGCCUUCGGGUUGUAAAGCUCUGUCCAGGGGGAAGAAGUGAGUGACGGUACCCUUGGAGGAAGCCCCGGCUAACUACGUGCCAGCAGCCGCGGUAAAACGUAGGGGGCGAGCGUUGUCCGGAAUUACUGGGCGUAAAGGGCGUGUAGGCGGCCUUGCAAGUCGGGAGUGAAACCCGCCGGCUCAACCGGCGGCCUGCUUUUGAAACUGCAGGGCUUGAGUGCAGGAGAGGGGAGUGGAAUUCCCAGUGUAGCGGUGAAAUGCGUAGAUAUUGGGAGGAACACCGGUGGCGAAAGCGGCUCUCUGGCCUGUAACUGACGCUGAGGCGCGAAAGCGUGGGGAGCAAACAGGAUUAGAUACCCUGGUAGUCCACGCCGUAAACGAUGGGUGCUAGGUGUUGCGGGUAUCGACCCCUGCAGUGCCGCAGUUAACGCAAUAAGCACCCCGC